GCAGACAUCUGAAUACUAAGCUAUUUCUGUUUUCAUCUUUUGGAUGUAAAGGGAGUGUAGCAGUGUUGAAACAGCACUGGUACGUGGAGAGUUUAUGCAGUGAAUUUAGCCUUGCAUUCGGACUGGUCAAUUGCCUGACUUGUAUUGCCUUCUGGAACACAAACAAGCUGUGCCAAGAUUUCACCAUGAUGGCAGUCAUCUGAAAUUUUGGUACCUCCCUCUGAAGGGGGAAUGGUGACCCUGAAGUAGGUGCCCUCAACAGGCAGAAUGAGUUUGCCCUUGGAAAGGCUGACUACAGAAAGAGGUGGAAAGACUGCCUUGGAAUAGACGCCUACCUAUAAAGGAGAGUUUGUAUGCCUAAGUUUUUGACUGAUGCAGGUAAUGAGGUGAAUCCCACUUUGGCUAUUUUUAGGUUCAGGCUGUGAGUUAUGCUUUCAUUUUUUUGUUUUAAUAAGAUGUUAAUCUCAAUGAAAUUGUUUGUACUUACAUCAUAUAAUCUGAAUAUUGUCCCCCAUUUUUU